AUUGAACGCUGGCGGCAGGCCUAACACAUGCAAGUCGAGCGAGCGGCGGACGGGUGAGUAAUGUAUGGGGAUCUGCCCUAUAGAGGGGUAUAACUACGGGAAACUGUGUCUAACACCGCAUAAUAUCGUAUGACCCCAUAUGGGAUGAGCUAGUGGGUGGGGUAAAGGCUCACCUAGGCGACGAUCUCUAGCUGGUCUGAGAGGAUGACCAGCCACACUGGAACUGAGACACGGUCCAGACUCCUACGGGAGGCAGCAGUGGGGAAUAUUGCACAAUGGGCGCAAGCCUGAUGCAGCCAUGCCGCGUGUAUGAAGAAGGCCUUCGGGUUGUAAAGUACUUUCAGCGAGGAGGCGUUACCCGCAGAAGAAGCACCGGCUAACUCCGUGCCAGCAGCCGCGGUAAUUC
rnacentral:rRNA from 1 species